AUGGCCACCCUCGCGCCACGCCCCGACCUCCUCCUCGUCGCUCUGAGAAGGUCCCGCGCUAGGACACUUCGCGCACGCGCCGCCGCCGUCCCACGUGCCUGCCGCCCUCCGGUGCCGCCGCAUGCAGCGCGGCGCGUCUUCCUCGGCCUCGGCGCCGCUUUCGUCGACCAGCUCGCCCGCAUGGCCUCCGGUGGUGCCCCAUCCCGCUCGUUCGUGGCCGCGGCGCGGCCAAGGCAGGGGGUCUCCCCGGUCGAACAGAUUUUGAAGAAUGUGGAGUGGCCGGACGAGUUCCCUUUCAAGCCCGAUGACUUCAGCCGCUUCGACGAGUCAUCAGAUACUGUGUUCUAUUCGGCUCCCCGUUUUGUCACGCACAUUGACGACCCAGCAAUCAGAGCGCUCACAGAAUACUACUCCCAAGUUCUUCCUCCAAGCAACACUCCAGGCGUGGCCAUCCUGGACAUGUGCAGUAGCUGGGUGAGCCAUUAUCCAGGUGGGUACAAGCAAGAGAAGAUCGUAGGGAUGGGUAUGAAUGAAGACGAGCUGAAAAAGAAUCCGGUUUUGACAGAGUAUGUUGUGCAAGACCUCAAUGUGAACCCGAAGCUUCCUUUCGACGAUAACACCUUUGAUGUUAUAACCAACGUGGUUAGUGUAGACUACUUGACAAAACCAAUGGAUGUUUUUAAGGAGAUGAGACGAAUACUUAAACCAUCUGGGUUAGCUAUCAUGAGCUUUUCAAAUCGCUGCUUCUGGACAAAAGCUAUAUCCAUUUGGACAUCAACUGGUGAUGCUGACCAUGCUUGGAUAGUUGGUGCAUACUUCCAUUAUGCUGGAGGGUUUGAGCCCCCUGAGGCUGUUGAUAUAUCUCCCAAUCCAGGACAAACAGAUCCGAUGUACAUUGUUUGCUCUAGAAAGAAAACAGCUUAA
rnacentral:rRNA from 1 species